rnacentral:rRNA from 1 species
UACGUAGGGCGCGAGCGUUUGUCCGGAAUUAUUGGGCGUAAAGAGCUCGUAGGCGGCUUGUCACGUCGGGUGUGAAAGACCGGGGCUUAACUCCGGUUCUGCAUUCGAUACGGGCUAGCUAGAGUGUGGUAGGGGAGAUCGGAAUUCCUGGUGUAGCGGUGAAAUGCGCAGAUAUCAGGAGGAACACCGGUGGCGAAGGCGGAUCUCUGGGCCAUUACUGACGCUGAGGCGCGAAAGCGUGGGGAGCGAACAGG